UACGUAGGGUGCGAGCGUUGUCCGGAAUUAUUGGGCGUAAAGAGCUUGUAGGCGGUCUGUCGCGUCUGCUGUGAAAAUCCGGGGCUCAACCCCGGACUUGCAGUGGGUACGGGCAGACUAGAGGUGUGGUAAGGGGAGACUGGAAUUCCUGGUGAUAGCGGUGAAAUGCGCAGAUAUCAGGAGGAACACCGAGUGGCGAAGGCAGGUCUCUGGGC
rnacentral:rRNA from 1 species